rnacentral:rRNA from 1 species
UACGGAGGGUGCGAGCGUUACCCGGAUUUACUGGGUGUAAAGGGCGUGUAGGCGGUCUCUCAAGUCCGAUGCUAAAGACCGAAGCUCAACUUCGGGGGUGCGUUGGAUACUGUGAGGCUAGACGGUCGGAGGGGGUAGCGGAAUUUCCGGAGUAGCGGUGAAAUGCGCAGAUACCGGAAGGAACGCCGAUAGCGAAGGCAGCUACCUGGACGAUUGGUGACGAUGAGGCGCGAAAGCGUGGGGAGCAAACCGG